UCCAAGAUUGGAGUCUCUCUUCCCCACUCUCUCCCAUCCAAGGACCCCUUCUCUGCAGCUGCCCCGCGGGGUACGACCCUGCAGCCACGCAGGUCUGCGCACUGGGUUCACAUCCAUCACGCACUGACCUUGUCAGGGCCCCUCAGCCCCUUAGGCACCGGGCCCUGUGGGAGCUGCCGCUGACCUGCCCUCACGCCUCCCUCCUCUAGGGGGCGCUCAGGGCCCCACCCUGAGAGGUGCUGCUCUGGCCAAGGGUCAGUGUCCUGUGGGGCCUGGACAGCUGGGGGCGGGGCCACGGCAGCUCCUGCUGUGACCUCCUGUCCCACAUGGGCCUCGGGCCCAUUGUCUGUUGUCUCA